AUAAAGGUGGUUGUUGUGUGCAAAUUCCACCGGGUAUCAUUGAUUAUGAAGGUCGUUGCUGUGUGCUGAUUCCACCGGGUACUAUUGAUGAUGAAGGUGGUUGUUAUGUGCUGAUUCCACCAAGUAUCAUUGACUAUAAGGGUGGUGUUAUGUGCUAAUCCACCGUGUAUCUGUUAUUAUUCCGAAGUGUUCAUCGGGAAAUUGACUAAGUGAAAAUACAUGAGAUCAUGUAACGACCAAGUGUAAUUGAAUAUGACUAUGUGAUGAAUAAUUGCAAGUAUAAAUGUGAAAAUUUAUGAACAAUGUGCUCGAUAUUUGAUCAAAUCAUCGAUAAGAUGCAAUGGAGUAAGUGAAAUUAUGAAAGAGUAAAUUUAGCAAUAAAACAGUUUUAGACAGCAACAGUUGUGUGAUUUUGAAAAAUCACAAAAAAUGGUGGAAAUUGAAUUAGAGAGUGAAUAAGAUAUGAAAUUAAAUCUGAAUGAGCCUAUUUUCACAUAAAAUAGACAUAGCAAGUAAAAAAUUUUUAUAUUAUGAGAUAUUUUACUUUUAGUGAGAUAGGGCUAGAAUGAUUUCGAAAUCCCCUAUUCUAACUUUGGAAAAUCAUUAAAAAUUGUACAAAAAUAAUUAUGGGAUAAAAUUCAUAUUUUUAGAAUCCUUAAUGAGUCUAUUUUCAAAAUAAAUAAAUGAGAACAUUAUCUGAAUUCUUUACUAUGAAAUGAUUAAUUUUUAGUGAAGAGGGGUCAGAGUUGUCGAGUGGUGAAAUAGGGAAAACUUUAAAUAAUAAAAUGUACUAAUUGGCUGAACCAAAAAUUAUGAAAUUUUUAUGGUAAGAAGAUAUGUGACUAUAAUUUUGGGGAAAAUUAACGGAUCUUAAUUUGGAGCUUGGCAGCUCAAGAUAUAAAUAAAUUAGUGACUCUAAGUCAGAUAGACAGUUUGAAUUUACAUACAGGAAAAUAGUGAAAGUAUGGAUAAUGUUGUUUAAGUGUGUUAUACACAUUAAGGAUGUGGAAUGGAGAGAAGGAAAAUUGGGAAAUAUAUGAAUGAUUUUUGUAUAAUUGGUAAUAUGCUCGAUUAUAAUUUUUAAACGAUGAAAUAGAAAUGAUGCUUAUAUUUGCACAUUAUUGGUCAUGAUUUAAGCUCGUGUGGGAAAAUAAUGUUUCAUAGUAUGUGUGUAUGGUAUAUUUGGAAUAUGAUUUAACUUGAAGUAAUGUCAUGAAUGGGUUAUGAAUUAACACAUGUUGGUAAGUUUGAUACAUUAAUAAAUGUUGUGCUAAUCCAUGCUCAUAAUGCUUAUGCUAUAUGUUUAUUUGGUUAACAUAUUUGAUGUACAAGCUUAGGCUUUGACCAAGUUGUGGUUGGAUUAUGCCACGUUAAACUUAUAAGUUAUGCAUUGAAAUGGUAAGUGCCUAAAUGGAAAUAUGCUUGUGAUCAUGACAGGGGUGGUAAAGUUUAAAUUAUGUAAUUCUAGUGCAAUGGUUUAUCUUGUGGUUAGUUCCAAAAAGAAUUAUGCUUAAAUGCACUAGCUUGCGACUAUGGUUGAACGAUAUGUUUAUGUCUUGUGUGAUAUGCAUAGGAAACAGGUGUGGAAAGGUAAUAAAAUAGUAAGUUCAUAUUUGAAGUGAAAAAUGACCAAAAAAGGGAUGAUGAGUUGAAUUGAUGUUGUUAUUUAAGAUAAAGUGAUAUUUUCAUUGCAAAAUUGAAAAUUUCAUAAAUGUGUUAAUGAAUUGUGUAAUCGAAAAACGUUGAGUUAAAUGGUAAAUACGUAUUAGUAUUGAACCUACUAAUAUUGAAUUGUACGUGAAUUAAAUGGAAAUUGCUAGUGAUAUGAUUUGAAUUGUGAGCAUGAGAAAUUGUGAACUGAAUGAAAUGAAAAUGAAGUAUUGAAUUGCAUGGGUAUGUAUCGGGUCUCGUAGGCCCUAUUUAUUAUGAAUAUAACAUUUUGAGGAUAUAUUGUGAAUAAUUAUAAAAGCAUGUUAAAAAAUUUUGAAAGUUUUAAUUUAGAUGAAAUUUUAUAAUACUGUUAAAUACGUUUCCAAACGUUUGUGUUCUGGUAAUGUCUCAUACCUUAUUCUGGUGUCGAAUAUGGGUAAGGGGUGUUACACUCAGGAACAAAAGUGUUAGCCAUAUUCUUGAAAUUUUUUCGAAUAGAAUCAUCUCUAAUUUUUGCAUAUCUCCAAUAGGUCUGUUGUUGGUUAUGCAUGAAUUUCCACAUAUCCAUUAUAGUUGAAAUUUUUUAUUUCUUCAUAGUAUUUGAAGAAGUAGGCAUUGGCAUGGUCAACUUGGGACUAAAACUUGGCUCUACUGGUUCAGUAAUAUUAGGUUCCUCCCUCGAUUCAGAGUUGUUUGGUUCCUCUUCAGAUUCUUCUUCUUCUGUCUCCUCAACUGAGUCAGCUUCCAGUUCAAAUUUAUUGGACAAUUAGUCAAUUUCUGGUUCUGUUAGUUCACUCGAUUCAAUUAGGCUCAGCUCAUGGACAUUCUCCACUCACAUUUCAAGAUCAUGGGCUGUGAUGCAACCUUGAACAUACUGUCCCUUCAAGUUUUCUUUUGAUUUAACUUGGGCCCUUAAGCAAAGUGAAGUAAUCAAUGAUGGAAAGUAGGCACUUCCUGCCUUCUUUUGAGCACAAUCAUGGAUCUCCUUGAGUAUAAUUUUCCCAAUAUUGAUAGACCUUUCUGUCAUAAUUGAAUACAACAAAAGAAUUCGUUCUAUCAAGAUGGUGGAACUAUGUGAGAUAGGCAUAAAACUAUAUCGAACAAAGUAGAACCAUACAUUAGCCACCGGUUUUAGAUAUUCCCUUUGGCAAGAAUGACUACCAUACUUUCUUAUAAUCCAUUGGGAUCCCGGAUUUGUAACAACAUUAAGCACUUGUUGAAGAAAAUCUCAAUUUAUAUCUGUUAUCAUGGAAAAGUACUCAUCUUCUUCAACAUCAAGCAGGUUAAACAAACCAUCAAUGGACUUAGAAGUAAGGGGUACCUUCUUUUUGCGAAAAAGAACUUCAGUAGAAUCUGGCACGAUUAAGUUGGCAUAGAAUUAUAGAACUAACUCUUCUUCAGGCAGUGAUCACGCAUCACAAAAAUAGUUCCAAUUGAAGGCAUUAAUUGUUUAUCAAAUUGGCAAAGGAACCACCAACUUCUCAUUUCUCUCCAAAUUGAAACAUUUUUCCGACAUCAUAGGUUGAUUUUUGGAGAUGUAAUCAAACCUUUCUUUCGCUUCCUCAUCUUGAAUCAUGUUCAGAUUUUUGACAGAGGUCUUGGAAGAUCUAGUUCUUUUGUAAGACAUGGUGAUUUUUCUAGAAGAAUAGGCAAAAUUUUGGCAAAAUAAAAGGAAAAGAAAUCGACAAUGGAUGGUAGCAAGAGGUUUGCGGCGGCAAUAGGCUUGCAACAGUAACGGGAUUGUAGGGAAAAAGGCUUGCAGCAGUGAUAAGAUUGCUCCGGCAAGAGCUAUGCAGUAGCGAUAGUAAGGCUUUGGCAAAAGACUUGCGGUGGCAAUAAGUAGGGUUUUGCGACAAGGGAAGGAAAUUUGGGAGAUUCUUCAAGAUUUAAGGCUGACGGCUAAGAUGAAAAAGAAUAAGUGGCUAGGGUUUAAGCUAAUUGCUUGAAUGGUUGUGAAAAUAUGGUGGUAAAGAGGGGUUUAUAUAGUAGUAAAUUAAGGCAAACUUGUAGCAGAAAUUUAACUACAAGAGUGGCUUGGGCCGCAAGGUAAGAUGGAAAAGAAAGUGGCGGCAACAAUAGGGUUUUGGGAACCCUUUGGAGGAGAAUAUGGGGUAAAUUUUCUCCUCUUUGUUGUUUCGGGUCUUGAGCCCAAAUUGUAUUUACAAACUUCACUAGUUAAAAUAAAAUAAACUGAUUAGUACUUGGUCCAAUUUGACCCCCUUAUUAAACAUAAACAAAUAAAAUGAACAUUAAAAUUAAGCUUAAAAUAAAAAUAAAAAUUUCAAAAUUAAUUAGAAAAUUUCUUCUCAAAAGAUUCAUUAAAUUAAUUCCCAGGAAAUGUUGGUAGGGUCACAAAUUGUCCCGCCUAAGUUCUAAUCUCCUUAGACAGAAUUAAUUAAAUGUAUUAAUUCAAGAAAAUAAUUUCUAAAUAUUUAUUAAAAAGUAAAAAAUGAAAAAUUAAGGGUCUAUUAAAUUGAACGAAGUUUCAAUUCUCUCAAUUUCACCAUCCCAAUAGUGUUUGAGACGUUGACCAUUAACUUUAAACAUACGACCCUGGUUGUCAUACACUUCUAUAGCUCCAUAUGGAUAAACUUGAUAGAUGGUAUAAUGUCCUUUCCAUCGGGACUUGAGCUUCCCAGGAAACAACCUUAGCCUCAAAUUAAACAACAACACUUUCUAACCUUCUCUGAAUUAACAAG
rnacentral:lncRNA from 1 species